rnacentral:pre_miRNA from 1 species
AAUGUACUCCCUCCGUUCGGAAUUACUUGUCGCAUAAAUGGAUGUAUCUAGACGUAUUUUAGUUGUAGAUACAUCCAUUUCCGAGACAAGUAAUUCCAAACGGAGGGAGUAUCUG